rnacentral:tRNA from 1 species
GGGCUAGUGGUGUAGUGGUAUCACGUUCGCUCGCAUGCGAAAGCUCCCGGGUUCGAUUCCCGGCUGGUCCA